GAUGAACGCUGGCGGCGUGCCUAAUACAUGCAAGUCGAGCGAACAGACGAGGAGCUUGCUCCUCUGACGUUAGCGGCGGACGGGUGAGUAACACGUGGAUAACCUAUCUAUAAGACUGGGAUAACUUCGGGAAACCGGAGCUAAUACCGGAUAUUAUAUUGAACCGCUUGGUUCAAUAGUGAAAGACGGUUUUGCUGUGACUUAUAGAUGGAUCCGCGCCGCAUUAGCUAGUUGGUAAGGUAACGGCGUACCAAGGCGACGAUGCGUAGCCGACCUGAGAGGGUGAUCGGCCACACUGGAACUGAGACACGGUCCAGACUCCUACGGGAGGCAGCAGUAGGGAAUCUUCCGCAAUGGGCGAAAGCCUGACGGAGCAACGCCGCGUGAGUGAUGAAGGUCUUCGGAUCGUAAAACUCUGUUAUUAGGGAAGAACAAAUGUGUAAGUAACUAUGCACGUCUUGACGGUACCUAAUCAGAAAGCCACGGCUAACUACGUG
rnacentral:rRNA from 1 species